UACGAAGGGUGCAAGCGUUUAAUCGGAAUUACUGGGCGUAAAGCGUGCGUAGGCGGUUAUUUAAGUCUGUUGUGAAAUCCCCGGGCUCAACCUGGGAAUGGCAAUGGAUACUGGAUAGCUAGAGUGUGAUAGAGGAUGGUGGAAUUCCCGGUGUAGCGGUGAAAUGCGUAGAGAUCGGGGAGGAACAUCAGUGGCGAAGGCGGCCAUCUGGAUCAACACUGACGCUGAGGCACGAAAGCGUGGGGAGCAAACAGG
rnacentral:rRNA from 1 species